UCCGGUUUGUCACCGGCAGUCUCAUUAGAGUGCUCAACUAAAUGUAGCAACUAAUGACAAGGGUUGCGCUCGUUGCGGGACUUAACCCAACAUCUCACGACACGAGCUGACGACAGCCAUGCAGCACCUGUGUUCAGGUUCCCUUUCGGGCACUCUCUGAUCUCUCAAAGAUUCCUGACAUGUCAAGGGUAGGUAAGGUUUUUCGCGUUGCAUCGAAUUAAUCCACAUCAUCCACCGCUUGUGCGGGUCCCCGUCAAUUCCUUUGAGUUUCGGUCUUGCGACCGUACUCCCCAGGCGGAGUGUUUCACGCGUUAGCUGGGCCCCUGAUCCACGCAGACCAAGGACGAACACUCAUCGUUUACGGCAUAGACUAC
rnacentral:misc_RNA from 1 species